AUGCAGCACCAGCUCACUAUACAUGUCUUGAUUCUUGACGACACAGACAAAACAGUCCUCGCCUACCGUACCGCGGCUAUGGCUGCGACAACCAAGCCUCUCCUCCACCCGGAGCCGGAGGAGCGCCAGCAUGGCUCCGCAGCAAACUCUGCCCGGAGACUCGCCGUCGCUUCGGCCGUUCUGAUAGUGCUGUUGAUGGCAGCCUUUGUCCAUCUCCGCACAAGGCUAUUCCUCUCGCCGCCGGAGCCAGUCGAGGUCGAGCUGACCCUCGUCGACGGCGCCAGGGAGAAGGGAGCAGUGUGUUUGGACGGAACCCCAGCGGGGUACCACCUGCAGAGAGGCUCCGGCACAGGAUCCAGCAGCUGGCUCAUCCAUCUACAGGGAGCAGGCUGGUGCGGCACAGUAAAGGAAUGUUCCGAUCGCAAAAUGUCCAUGUUCGGUUCAUCUAACUUCAUGAAACCAAUACCGUUUGCUGGUGCUGGGAUCCUUGACAAUGAUCAGCAACUGAAUCCUGAUUUUUACAACUGGAACAAAGUCUAUGUACGGAAUUGCGAUGGGGCGUCAUUUUCUGGUGAUGCGGAAGGUCAAGCACAGGACGGAACCACCCUUUACUUCAAAGGAUUGCACAUCUAUGAAGCAGUUAUUGAUGAACUCAUGGAAAAAGGACUCUCCAAUGCUACGAAGGCCCUCCUUACAGGCUGUUCUGCUGGUGGUCUAGCCACGAUGUUGCAUUGCGAUGAUUUUAAUGAAAGGUUUCCUCGGGAGGAUUCAGUUAAAUGCCUUGCAGACGCUGGGUUUUUUCUUGACGUAAUGGAUAUAUCAGGGGAAAGGUCCUUUCGCUCUUACUAUGAUGGACUUCUUCACCUCCAGAAUGUUCAAAAAGUGUUACCCAAGGACUGUCUUGCCAAAAAGGACCCAACUCAGUGUUUUCUCUCCGCAGAGCUUAUUAAGAGCAUCAACACCCCUAUGUUCAUUCUCAACUCUGGAUAUGAUUCAUGGCAGAUACGAAAUGUUCUUGUACCAGAUCCAUCAGAUCCUGAUAAGUCGUGGUUGAGUUGCAAGGAUGACAUGAGUAACUGCUGUUCCACACAAGUUGAAGUGUUUGAUGGAUUCAUGGACACGAUGGUGGAUGCUUUGAAGGUUGUUGAAGACAAGGAGGACUGGGGAUUGUUCAUCGAUUCAUGCUUCACUCACUGUCAAUCCAUAUUUGGCCUCUCUUGGAAUUCAGCGAUCUCCCCAAGGCUAGGAAAUAAGACCAUAGCAGAGGUUGUUGGAGAUUGGUACCAUGGAAGGAGCCAAGGAGUAAAAGAGAUUGACUGCGAGUAUCCAUGCAACCCAACAUGCAACAGUUUGUUGCCGACAUGA
rnacentral:rRNA from 1 species